rnacentral:rRNA from 1 species
UACGGAGGAGGCAAGCGUUAUCCGGCCUUAUGGGGCGUAAAGCGUCCGUAGGUGGUUGACCAAGUCUGCUGUCAAAGGGUGGGGCUUAACCUCAUAAAGGCAGUGGAAACUGGUGAGCUAGAGUGCGGUAGGGGUAAGGGGAAUUCCCAGUGUAGCGGUGAAAUGCGUAGAGAUUGGGAAGAACAUCGGUGGCGAAAGCGCCUUGCUGGGCCUGCACUGACACUGAGGGACGAAAGCUAGGGGAGCGAAAGGG